CACGUGUCUUCCUGCAAGGCCUGCUGGGAAAUUUGGGGCAUUAGCAACAAUGACCGUGUCCCUUUCGUCAAAGUAUGUUUUAUUUUUCUGAAGAGCAACACUGCAAAAGUGUUUAUGUUCUAGUCCUUGCUGAAUCCCAGGAGAGAAUAGGUGAGAGACUGCAGAUGGAGAGAACACAGGAGAAAGCAGGAGACAUGUCACAGGGUGCAUUCUGAGCGUGACAGUGAGAUGACUGCCGUCGAGGUGAGUGUCUGAACGGCUGCUUUAUUUCUGACCCUGGGAGGAUGCUGUGAGGAGCUCCUUUUGUGCCGUGGAGCUGGAUGGGCUCCAUUUCGGCUCUUAGGAACAUGAGGACACAAAGGCUCCGGUACACGUGCCGCCGCGAGCGAGCCGCUCACGCACGCCGAGGAGUACCUGGUCACGUUCCUGCAAUCCGGGGUGAAUGUGCCUCUCUCUGUCGACCUGCCUGAGGACGGGGAAGCUUUUUCAACGCUGUGCAACUUCUCAAAGUACAAACUCAAUGUGACUAGCCUGGCCGUCUUUGUCCCACAUUGUCACGAUGUCCUGUUGGAUAAUGCACCUGUGUUUCGAGGCGCGUGCGUGGGUGUGUGUGUGUGUGUGUGUGCGUGUGUGUGAAAGCAGUGUUGUUUGUGAACCGCACAGAGAGACAGCCCACUGAGCCAUAAGAAACCCUCACCCUAUUACUAGGCUUUGGAAUUUUGAGUUACGCACGCAGAAGUCUUUGUAACACACAUCAUAUACUAUAUAUCAGCCACCCUUCACUCUUAGCCUUAUUUGUAGACGCCCAAGUGUAAUCAUAUUUCUUUUGUCUUACAUUUGAUGAAAUGGCAACGAAAACAUUAGACCAUAUAACCAACCUUGCAAUUGUCCAGAUUCAAAGAAAUAAGAAUGUUUAUUAUUGUCAAAAAACAAAAGAAGGAAGAGAGGAGUAAGAAAAGACCUUCAUGUGACCUUCAGUCCACGCUCUCUGAGGGAGGAAGGGCAGGUCCCGCUGGGGUGGGGAUCCCAGGGCCUAAUAUAUUGACCUGUACUCAUCAAUAACAGAUUGACAGAGGGAGUGACAAAGCUCUCCUCUCAAUGAAGUGAUGUUGGGAUAAUUCUAGGGCAGGGGCUAUGGUCCUGCGCUGGAUUUUCUUUAGAGCAUCAAAGCAUGCGAUUCAUACAUCCAAUAUCAUUCAUUGCUGACAUUGGCAACAGGUGACUCACAAAGGGAGAAAAUAUCCUGCACGUAUUUAUGCUUUACUCAUUAGUAUUCUUACUGCACUGUAAUGCCCAUUUUUAUGCAGAUGAUGCAAUCUUGUAUGCCACUGGAUCCUUGCUUAACCAGGCUGUUAGUAAUUUACUUUGAUGCUUUCAGUUGGCUCUCAUUAAUCAUAAGCUUGAAUAAAACUAAAUGUACUUUAUUUUCGAGCAAUCUAUUUGAAAAUGGUUCUAAUACAUGUAUCUGCAUGUAUUCAGGGUACCCAAAUUAAAACUGCAGGAAUCUGG